AACGUGAAAAUUAUCUUGUAAAAACGUGAUAACUUAUCCAGAUGGUGGCGCUAGUAUGCUUUUAGUCUGACUCAUUUAAGACGAAGAAGAAGCAUGUGCGUCAUCUACUCGAGAACUAAAAUGGCAAAUUUAUGGAAAUGGAUCAAGUUUUACUUUAUGCUCGCUGGUAUCACCUUAUUUUCAACGGAAAUACGGAGACAGUGAGUGGCGGAUUUCCGUGCGAGACGUCCGAUACGUCACUUCCUGUUACUGGCGAGUCAGCUGGACAGCGACUCGCGCAGUUAAUUCGUACCAAAUUACUCGUCUUUAUGAUUUCAUGGAAGGCCGGGAUCGUUUGUCCGGUUAGAGGCUGUCAUGAUAACGGGUGUAAACGAAAGGUUUAUGUGGAGCAGGAGUGUUUUAAUCAUCGACCGCGUUCAAGAGCUGUAGAUACCAGGCGCCCUACUUUCUUCACCCCCAGCCGAAGAAUGAGAUAUCCCUCCGCCUGUGGCUAAAAGUUGUAAAUUUGAAGAAACCACCGAAACAAUGGUAUGUUUGUUCUUUUAAUUUUGUGGACAAAAGACCGAUAGGAGACCACACGAUGCCAGAAAAGUGGCCGGGCUACGAAGUUCCAUUAAAAUCUCUGUGGAGACGUCAAGAGGGCAGCAAACAGAUGACUGCUGCUGUGAUGCAGAGGCUGACUGGACCGCUCCAUAAUCAGAGUCACCUAUGCAGAAAGAUGCUGAUACUACAGGCACCGAAGGAUCACACCUAGGAGAAGAGAAGAACAGUGCAUGUGUACUCCUCUGGCAUACCAGAGGAGUGUCUCUGACACAUGGAAGAACACAUAAUGUAUUUGCCGGCCACUCAUAUUUCAGAUAUAUUACCUGUCCAGGUGUACCCUGCCUCUCGCCAUUGACUGCUGGAGAUAGGCACCAGCACCCCUCGACAUCCAAACAAGGAUAAGGGUGUAGGAAAAUGGAUGGUAAUAAAUUAGUACAAAAAGUCAUUCAAGUUUGGGUAAUGUUCUGUCAAAACACCACCUCUUCCUGUCUGUGGAUGUGAGCACACCAUUCUAUAACAGUCUAAUCUUGAAUG